CCCAAGGCCAACUGCUGCAAGAGAUUGAGUCGGGUUUAGCCCAAGGCCAAUCGCCCUAAAAAGUUGAGUCGGGUUUAGCCCAAGGCCAACUGCAGCAUACAGUUCCUGAAAGUUGAGUCGGGUUUAGCCCAAGGCCAACUGCUGCAAGAGAUUGAGUCGGGUUUAGCCCAAGGCCAAUCGCCCUAAAAAGUUGAGUCGGGUUUAGCCCAAGGCCAACUGCUGCAAAAGAUUGAGUCGGGUUUAGCCCAAGGCCAAUCGCCCUAAAAAGUUGAGUCGGGUUUAGCCCAAGGCCAACUGUAGCAAAAGAGUUCCUGAAAAGUUGAGUCGGGUUUAGCCCAAGGCCAACUGCUGCAAAAAGAGUUGUUGAGAAAUUGAUUUGGUCCGAAACUAGCUGCAGAUACUAAAGGAGUCGAGUUGAGUUAUUGCAAUCAGGAGGACAUUACUACUGUGAGGGCAGAGGUCUGCAAAUGAAUAGAUAAUAACAUGUAAAAAAAGCUGUAGAAGAACUAUUAAUGUAAUGUUUACCGCAGAAAGGAAUCUCUCAACGGUUCAAAUUUCACAAAAUCUACAGGGAAGGAAGGAUGGGGCACCAUAGCCUGCACAGAACUCAUCAAAAAGAACAAUGGAAGCUUACAACACAUAUUAGCGACACAUUGGAUUACACAAUGAUAAAAUCCACAAUAGAAAAAAACGGUUCUGCAACCAAACAUAUUAUUUUAACAAUGUUCUAUUGUAUUUAGAUUUUAAGCAGGGAUCUAUGUAGUCAACGUAUGUUUGAUGAACAAGUAAAUAAAUAACAAAUAUAAUCUAGUACUACAGUUAAAAAUAUGAUAAUACAUAUAUACAUAUGAAAAUAUAAGUAGAGUAUGUACAAGACACGAAAUGUAAGAUAGCGGGCCACGAAAGUUAAAAUUGUUAGCUAAUAAAAUUUCAUAUAAAUAACAUACAGCAUAAUAACAUGUUUAUCUUCAUAUCAAGGAAUCUUAUAUAUAAGGAAUAAAUACAAAACGUCAACCGCAGUAUGACUUGUUUUAUAUAUAGGGUAACCACCACGACAUAGUUGAAUGUGACUCUUCGUGAAAGUAAGUUUUGUUAAAGUUAACUCGGAGGAAAGCAGAAUAGUUGGAGGAUCAAUCCUUACGCAAAGAAAGGAACUGGAUCCGCAUCAUUGGCAUCGUUGAUAUUGGCAGCUUAUGCUGUUAGCCUUCGCUCUACGGGACGGACACUUCGCCAGGCGUUACCAAACUAAGACGAGAAACGACAGGAAGGAUUUUAGUUUAAUAUUAACUUUAUUGUUAGCGUUACUGUACUUAUUAUAACAUUCAAUUUGGCAAGGGGAGGAUGUGGCAUCCUGAAGAUUAUCCUAAAUUAGGCAAUCAGCGAUAAGCGUGUAGAGCUGUGGAUGGGUGAGUGAAAAGCGAGCGUGAAUCGGGGGCCAGUCUUGUGGAUGAUGCCAAAGAAUAAAGAUGGAGCUUUGCUCCCGUUAAGAAUAUAAA